rnacentral:lncRNA from 1 species
GUAGUUCAAUUAAGCAAGCGAUGUGGCUGAGUCAUUGUGGAAUACAGGAUCGAUACAGAUUGUUAAGUAUGAUACAAAGCUCCAUCUAGCGGUCUAAUUAGGGGAUCUGCAUUUGGUUCAAUUUUUUUUUUUUUUUGUGAUUUGAUUUUGAUAUCUGAAGGAUAAAUCACUGACAUCAGAAGAAACGGAAUUUGAUUUAAUCGUCUGUGGCUGAGGCCUGAGGUGAGGGUUAAUCUGAAGAUGAGAUUUGUUACGGCGGAGGUAGCGUGUUGUGGGCAUGAACAAUACAAUGAAAUUGGAGUAUCCAAAUCGGUUUGAAUUUGUGUCCAAGCAGAGAUAUAUACGCGUUCUGGGAUCCUUUUUGUGAGUAAAAAUCACUCUAGCAAAUAUCUUCUCUCCUACAUGUGUCAUGUUUCUCUUCACUUUACACCUUAUCUCUAUUUUUGUUUAGAGUUUAGGAAUUUUUUUUUUAUAUAUGAUUGUUCUUUAAUUUUGUUUUGGGAUUCUAUUUGAUUGAUUCAGACACAUCCAGACACCCCCCCCCCCCCUAAUAAACUUGCUUGUCAUGUUAUCCUCUUUUACAUGGUGAUCUGUAUAUUGAAUAUUUAUGUCUAUAUCUUUUACAUAAAUCAUCAUGUUGUGAUUGCCUUACCAGAUAGACAUGUCUCUUAAUUAAAUUAGUUUCGAAAAAUAUAUUUAUAAAUGAUUUUCAUUCUAGGUUUAUGUUGAUGCGGCCAAAUUCGUGUUAACUUGGCCGAGUCCAUGUAUAUAUACGCUGCAACAUCAUCUAAUCGUCAUUUAAGGGUUGUGGAGUUAAACCUUGGAUCACUUCAUUCAUAAAUUCAUGUUAACUUGGCCGAGUCCAUGAUAACCGCGUCUCCUUAGAAUCCGACGACCAGGAUGACAAAUCCGGGAUUGAACAUUCAAGAAGCACAUGCUUUUUCCUCGGCUGGUGGCUUCUUAUUGGAUGUAUUUGUUGUUGAUGGCCUCAUGAGGUCUAAUCUUAGUUGUCUUGAGCAAUGUGUUUGAAUUUUGAAAACAUUGGUACAAUGAUCUGUUAUUGGCAACUUUUAGGAAAUUGAAAAGCUCAAAAAUGCAAUAGAGAAUGAUAUAUUGAAGGCUAGGUAGUUUCUUUCUAACAUAUUUUGGUGUUUUGUACGCUACAUUUAAUUUAUGUAAUAUACAUCUUCUAUGCAGGGGAGGCUCAUAGUGGUAAAAAUUCUUCAUCCACUAAAUGCAGAAGUAUUCCAACAUCAAGUGACCUUGUGCCCUCAAAUGAUUAUGUAAAAGUACCUACUUAUGGAACUGAGGUAUUGGAAAUUGAUGCCAAGCUGCUGAAAUUCUUAUAGAGAGAUGUUGAAUAAACGAUACUGGUAACAUCGUUUUAAUAUGAUAAAUAUUUAGAGAUUAUGAUUAUUUGUAUAUAUACGUGAGUUAUAUUUGUAAUCUCACUUCAUUAUUACUUUAUUUAAUAUGAAACUUUUUUUUUAAUCUAUACAGUAAUGACCGGAAACACUUAAUGUCAAAAUAAUGGAUGUAGGCUUUACGUUUACAUUUCGGAUGGGUCACUUUGUUUGUCCGAAAUGUUUAAGAAAGAUGAUUUCAGGAUUAUGAUUAUAAUCAUUUUAACUAUCAUAAGAAAGUUUAUGUCAAACUAUUAUUUCUCAGCACCACCGUCCUCACUUACUUGACUCUUAGGAAGACAACCUCUAGAGGAUCCGAGGUAACAGUUGCAUGAAUGGCGUAUUUUCCUUUUUUAUUUUGAUCACUUUGUUUUAAAUAGAUGUGCUUUUUAAGUGGGAGUUAAUGUUUUUAUUUCUAUAGACAUUGUUGUCGAAUUAGAUAUCCCAUCAGUGAAGAAAAGUUCAAGUGAACCUAUAUUCAAGCGACCACGCGCGUCUCCAAACACCAUUGCCAUUACCGAAAUUUAAGAAGGGACUCGAUUUACUAAGAGAAAUGUUUUGGCAACUCGAAGGAUAUGCAUUUUAAAGGGAUUCGACUGUCUUUAAAUUGUAUUUCCACUUUGUCACUAAUUCAUGCAACAUACCACUUUGUUUGUAUUUUUUUUAUU